CGACAGAUGACAUCUGUCAAAGGAAAAGUAUGUAUUAAUGUAUUUGAGUUUAUUUGUGUUUAGUGUGGCAUUUCCCCCUUAUUGUUGUGUAGUUUUUAUGUAUGGACAUUUAUUUAGUGCUAGGACAUGGUUAGAAAGUAUGUUAUUUGUAAAGUUUUAUUUAAAAAGGGCGAGCAGCGGUCUUUUGACAGGUAAGUAAACAAGCAACAUGGGCGGCGUUUUAGGAAUUACAUAAGGGUGUUUUACAUUUAGUACUUAAUUAGCAUUGAUAAAAUACUGACUAAAUCAUUAUCUAAAUUAUUAAAAAGAUAUAUUUUUUAAUUGUUCAACUUUUCCUGUUUCAGUAAUAUUAUAAGUAUAUUAUGAGUAAUACCUGUAUUUUUUAGAUUUCCUAAGAAUAUGGAACGGAGAAACUUGUGGAAGCUCUCCCUAGGUGAUGUCAAUAUUACCGACAACAUUUUUUUUGGUUGUGAUGAUCAUUUUGCAAUUAAUGAUUUUCUGACAAAGCCAUCAGGUAUAAAGUACUUGUGAGAGAUAGCUAUUCCAAUUAUAACUUCUACUUAUAAAGGGAAAAUAACUUUUAUAUUCAUUAAAAUAUACAAAUAAAAAGCCUUUACAGUUACCUAGUACCUCUUUACCUUUUUAUUUAAUUUUUAUAGAUCAGACAGUUCUAAUAAGGAAAAUAUUUCUCUAAACGAUGUUCUUACGGAACAGUCAUUGCACUUGCCACAACAAAAACCAGAAAAUAUAUCCACAUGUUCAUCGUCAUCAACACUACAAAUAAGGCUACAGAUCUUUCUGAAAUAUAUUUGAAAUUUGGUGACACCAUACCGAAACAUUGAUCAACAUUAACUGCAUCAGAAAUAGGAAUGGAUUCACCCAAUCGCAAUAAAAUUAUAAACGUGAAUAAAACGCCUUAUCCACGAUAUUUUGGAGAAUGCCAUACUUCUGACAUGGAUCCAAAAAGAGCAAGAAAAAAUUGGAGUAUUUGUAAGAAAAAAAUAAAAAUGCAAACAAUAAAGAUCCGAAGUCUGCAGCAGGCAAAGAGUCGUCUAAAAGCCAGAAUUUGUAGUCUUAAUUCUCUUCUGAAAUUUUUGAAAAAGAAAUAUGACAACAGAAACUGCUCAAUGUAUCAUUCAUGAAUCAACACCUGGAAUAUUAGGUGAAAUCUGUCAAAGAUCAUGAAAAUGACAAUCUCGUAAAAAGUAUUCACCUGAGCUUAGGUCGUUUGCCUUAUCGUUAAGCUUUUAUUCAACAGAUGCUUAUAAUUAUGCAAGAAGUUUUAACAUGGCUUUGCUACAUACGAAAACAAUUUUUAAGUGGUACAGAUCUAUAGAUGGAACACCUGGAUUUACAAAUGAAGCAUUGGCUGCUAUUAAAAUGAAAGUAAGAGAAACAAACAGUGAAAUUUUGGGCAAUUUGGUAUUUGACGAAACGUCUAUAAUGCAAAGUGUUGAGUGGAAUAGGAAACAAUUCACUGGAUAUGUUGAUGUCGGCACUGAAGUAUAUGGGGAUAAUAUUCCAAAAGCUACGGAAGCCCUUAUUUUUAUGGUUGUAGCUAUAAAUAGUCAUUGGAAAAUACCUGUUGGGUACUUCUUGACAAACGGUUUAAGUGGUGGAGAAAAAGCUAAUUUUGUUAAAAAAAUGUUUAGAAUUUUUAAGUGAAUUGGGUAUCAAAAUAGUUUCUGUUACUUUUGACGGUGCUCCUUCAAAUAUCAAAUUACGGCUUUACCAUAAAUGUUUAUGUUAAUAUUAAUAAGUAGGUAGAUUGUA